GACGAACGCUGGCGGCGUGCUUAACACAUGCAAGUCGAACGGAAAGGCCCUGCUUUUGUGGGGUGCUCGAGUGGCGAACGGGUGAGUAACCCGUGAGUAACCUGCCCUUGACUUUGGGAUAACUUCAGGAAACUGGGGCUAAUACCGGAUAGGAGCUCCUGCUGCAUGGUGGGGGUUGGAAAGUUUCGGCGGUUGGGGAUGGACUCGCGGCUUAUCAGCUUGUUGGUGGGGUAGUGGCUUACCAAGGCUUUGACGGGUAGCCGGCCUGAGAGGGUGACCGGCCACAGUGGGACUGAGAUACGGCCCAGACUCCUACGGGAGGCAGCAGUGGGGAAUAUUGCACAAGGGGCGGAAGCCUGAUGCAGCAACGCCGCGUGCGGGAUGACGGCCUUCGGGUUGUAAACCGCUUUCGCCUGUGACGAAGCGUGAGUGACGGUAAUGGGUAAAGAAGCACCGGCUAACUACGUG
rnacentral:rRNA from 1 species